rnacentral:rRNA from 1 species
GCAGGGAAACAGAUGGACCCACGAAGUCUUGUUGGUGAUGUGGUUCAUUUAGUGUUGAUAUCGUGAGGAUGUUGUUGGAUGAAGUUCUUUCAUCUACUUCACUCUCAGUCAAUGGUGUCAACACUGAUGCAUUUCACAUCACCACGUUGGAGCUCUGACCUCUAGAUAUGAGAUGUCUAGUGUUGCGCUUAGUGUUUGUGCACUGAUACUUCACGGUACCGGUGUACUCUACUUUGUGCAUGAUCUCUUCGUCUAUCAUCUAGAGGGUGAAUUGCAUUGAUCUUCUUCAAUGUUUCAUUCAGAUUGUCUAUACACAGGUUGGUGAAUAGAGUAGCUACUCAUUGUGACUAUCGACUCUUGUAGUCGAUACCAUUUUGAGAAUCGGUUACUCAUCAACGUUCACCAUUCACUUGUGUGUAGUACGACAAUCCAGGGUAAGUAGGUCGGUCAUCCAUCUGACCC